rnacentral:lncRNA from 1 species
ACCCUAAAAUCCAUGAAAAUUCUAAAAAAAUUUGGAUAAAUUCGGUGCAAAAUUGAAAGAGUUUUGGAUUUCUAAAACUCUAUCUCAUAGAAUUCGAAAUCCAAACUUAUUCCUUUUUGAUUUGAUCCAAACCACCUUCCAUGUAAGAAAGAAGAGAGGAAACCUUUUGUGAACGUGGGAGAGACCUGGGAGAGGACUUUUGUCACACAAAAUAAGUGGAGAUUGG